CAGCCGCCGCGGUAAUACAGAGGGUGCAAACGUUGUUCGGAAUCACUGGGCAUAAAGCGCACGUAGGCGGUCAUGUAAGUGUGGAGUGAAAGCCCACGGCUCACCCGUGGAACUGCUUUGCAUACUGCAUGACUCGAGGACGGUAGGGGAGAGCGGAACUCUUGGAGGAGCGGUGAAAUGCGUAGAUAUCAAGAGGAACACCAAUGGCGAAGGCAGCUCUCUGGUCCGUUUCUGACGCUGAGGUGCGAAAGCUAGGGUAGCGAACGGGAUUAGAUACCCCGGUAGUCCUAGCCGUAAACGAUGAGCACUAGCUAGGGGCCCUCCUGUGGGGUCCCUGGCGAAGCAAAUGUGAUAAGUGCUCCGCCUGGGGAGUAUGGUCGCAAGGCUAAAACUCAAAGGAAUUGACGGGGGCUCACACAAGCGGUGGAGCAUGUGGUUUAAUUCGAAGCAACGCGAAGAACCUUACCCAGCCUUGACAUCCAGGGAUAACUCUUGUGAAAGCUUGAGGAUUGCCUUCGGGUGUAACCUGGACAGGUGUUGCAUGGCUGUCGUCAGCUCGUGUCGUGAGAUGUCGGGUUAAGUCCCUUAACGAGCGAAACCCCUAUUACUAGUUGCCAGCGGGUCAAGCCGGGGACUCUAGUGAGACUGCCGUUGUUAAAACGGAGGAAGGUGGGGACGACGUCAAGUCAUCAUGGCCCUUACGGCUGGGGCUACACACGUGCUACAAUGGUCGGGACAGAGGGCCGCUAGGCCGUGAGGUGGAGCAAAUCCCAAAAACCCGACCCCAGUUCGGAUUGCAGGCUGCAACUCGCCUGCAUGAAGUCGGAAUCGCUAGUAAUCGCGGAUCAGCUACGCCGCGGUGAAUAUGUUCCUGAGCCUUGUACACACCGCCCGUCAAGCCACGGAAGCCGAGAGCGCCCGAAGUCGUUUGCCUAACCGUAAGGAGGGCGGCGCCGAAGGCGAGCUUGGUGACUGGGACUAAGUCGUAACAAGGUAACCGUA
rnacentral:rRNA from 1 species